AUGGUCUCAGCUAUUUUUGGCCCCAGGAGUACCAAUCUGAAGGAAAAUAUGCUGGUCAAGCUUAAGGCAGUGUAUACCUUGGUAGAGCAGCUGUACUCCGGGUCACAGCGUGCGUUGACCGAUGUGGCCUUGUCAAAUACCUCUCCCCGGCUCCUGCAAGACGUGUUGAGACAUCUGUUGGUGCUACCUCAACACAUUCAAGACUUAAGGCGGGCAUCCGCGAGAGCCAGAGCCGUGGCUGCGUUGAGUCGGGCAAAAGCAUGGGUGCCAGAACUUGACCUUGCUGACCUCUCUCUUGGAUAUCCAAGUCUUAAGAAGGACGGCACUACUUUUGGCGAACAGGACUUCACUGCCUGUGUUAAAGUCGUACGCCCCCUGGCGACUCUCAUUGGAGAGGAUACUGAUCUCACCAAGUAUUCGCCGGGCUAUGAUAGCGAGAACCGGAGAAUCCCAAAUGUCCCAUAUGACCAAGUCAGCCUGAUCCCUCCAACGCGUAAGUAUACCUUUGCCCCUGAAGUGGACCCGGCCAGUUUAAUAGAUGAUGAAGCUGAAUUUGAAGCUUUGGGCGGCAUUGACUGGGCCUCGUCCACCUUCCAGGACAAAACAACCGAAGGAGAGGCGGGGAAGGAUAAUCCGGAGUCAUCAAGCCAACCGGAGGAAUGA
rnacentral:rRNA from 1 species